CAUAGCCCGAGUUGAGAGACUGAUCGGCACAUUGGGGACUGAGACACGGGCCCAAACUCCUACGGGAGGCAGCAGUAGGGAAUCUUCCACAAUGGACGCAAGUCUGAUGGAGCAAACGCCGCGUGAGUGAAGAAGGGUUUCGGCUCGUAAAAAGCUCUGUUGUUGGUGAAGAAGGACAGGGGUAGUAACUGACCCUUUGUUUGACGGUAAUCAAUUAGAAAGUCACGGGCUAACUACGUGCCAGCAGCCGCGGUAAAAU
rnacentral:rRNA from 1 species